rnacentral:rRNA from 1 species
CAAAAACAUAGCUGGGUGAUAUUACUUUCAGUUUUUUCUGCUCAAUGAGUCAUUAAAUAGCCGCAGUACCCUGACUGUGCAAAGGUAGCGUAAUCAGUUGUCUUCUAAUUAAAGUCUCGUAUGAAAGAAUAUAUGGGGGCCCACUUUACCAAUGGUAGAAAAAGAACUUAAUGAGUGAGUGCAAAUGCUCACAAUACAUAAAAGACGAGAAGACCCUAGAAAUUUUUAUUACCAUUUUUGUUGGGGCAACAUAGUAACAAGUAAUUUACUAUAUGUAUAUGAAAUAAGUUAGUUAGCGCAAAUUACUCUAGGGAUAACAGCAUAAUUUACAUAAAGUUUGUGACCUCGAUGUUGGAUUAGGAAGUUAUAAUUUAAAAGGUUGUUAAUUUCGCUCUGUUCGAGCA